GACGAACGCUGGCGGCGUGCUUAACACAUGCAAGUCGAACGGAAAGGCCCUGCUUUUGUGGGGUGCUCGAGCGGCGAACGGGUGAGUAACACGUGAGUAACCUGCCCUUGACUUUGGGAUAACUUCAGGAAACUGGGGCUAAUACCGGAUAGGAGCUCCUGCUGCAUGGUGGGGGUUGGAAAGUUUCGGCAGUUGGGGAUGGACUCGCGGCUUAUCAGCUUGUUGGUGGGGUAGUGGCUUACCAAGGCUUUGACGGGUAGCCGGCCUGAGAGGGUGACCGGCCACAUUGGGACUGAGAUACGGCCCAGACUCCUACGGGAGGCAGCAGUGGGGAAUAUUGCACAAUGGGCGGAAGCCUGAUGCAGCAACGCCGCGUGCGGGAUGACGGCCUUCGGGUUGUAAACCGCUUUCGCCUGUGACGAAGCGUGAGUGACGGUAAUGGGUAAAGAAGCACCGGCUAACUACGUG
rnacentral:rRNA from 1 species